GACGAACGCUGGCGGCGUGCCUAAUACAUGCAAGUAGAACGCUGAAGAGAGGAGCUUGCUCUUCUUGGAUGAGUCGCGAACGGGUGAGUAACGCGUAGGUAACCUGCCUUGUAGCGGGGGAUAACUAUUGGAAACGAUAGCUAAUACCGCAUAACAAUGGAUGACACAUGUCAUUUAUUUGAAAGGGGCAAUUGCUCCACUACAAGAUGGACCUGCGUUGUAUUAGCUAGUAGGUGAGGUAAUGGCUCACCUAGGCGACGAUACAUAGCCGACCUGAGAGGGUGAUCGGCCACACUGGGACUGAGACACGGCCCAGACUCCUACGGGAGGCAGCAGUAGGGAAUCUUCGGCAAUGGGGGCAACCCUGACCGAGCAACGCCGCGUGAGUGAAGAAGGUUUUCGGAUCGUAAAGCUCUGUUGUAAGUCAAGAACGGGUGUGAGAGUGGAAAGUUCACACUGUGACGGUAGCUUACCAGAAAGGGACGGCUAACUACGUG
rnacentral:rRNA from 1 species